GACGAACGCUGGCGGCGUGCUUAACACAUGCAAGUCUAACGGCAAGGCCCUGCUUUUGUGGGGUGCUCGAGUGGCGAACGGGUGAGUAACACGUGAGUAACCUGCCCUUGACUUUGGGAUAACUUCAGGAAACUGGGGCUAAUACCGGAUAGGAGCUCCUGCUGCAUGGUGGGGUUUGGAAAGUUUCGGCGGUUGGGGAUGGACUCGCGGCUUAUCAGCUUGUUGGUGGGGUAGUGGCUUACCAAGGCUUUGACGGGUAGCCGGCCUGAGAGGGUGACCGGCCACAUUGGGACUGAGAUACGGCCCAGACUCCUACGGGAGGCAGCAGUGGGGAAUAUUGCAAAAUGGGCGGAAGCCUGAUGCAGCAACGCCGCGUGCGGGAUGACGGCCUUCGGGUUGUAAACCGCUUUCGCCUGUGACGAAGCGUGAGUGACGGUAAUGGGUAAAGAAGCACCGGCUAACUACGUG
rnacentral:rRNA from 1 species